rnacentral:rRNA from 1 species
CCUACGGGGGGCAGCAGUGGGGAAUAUUGCACAAUGGGGGAAACCCUGAUGCAGCGACGCCGCGUGAGUGAAGAAGUAUCUCGGUACGUAAAGCUCUAUCAUCAGGGAAGAAAAUGACGGUACCUGACUAAUAAGCCCCGGCUAACUACGUGCCAGCAGCCGCGGUAAUACGUAGGGGGCAAGCGUUACCCGGAUUUACUGGGUGUAAAGGGAGCGUAGACGGCAGCACAAGUCUGGAGUGAAAUCCCGGGGCUGAACCACGGAACUGCUUUGGAAACUGUGCGGCUGGAGUGCAGGAGGGGUAAGCGGAAUUCCUAGUGGAGCGGUGAAAUGCGUAGAGAUUAGGAGGAACACCGGUUGCGAAGGCGGCUUACUGGACUGUAACUGACGUUGAGGCUCGAAAGCGUGGGGAGCAAACAGGAUUAGAUACCCCAGUAGUC